rnacentral:rRNA from 1 species
CCUACGGGAGGCAGCAGUGGGGAAUAUUGGGCAAUGGAGGCAACUCUGACCCAGCAACGCCGCGUGAAGGAAGAAGGCCUUAGGGUUGUAAACUUAUGUUGUAAAGGAAGAAAAGAAUGACGGUACUUUACAAGAAAGCCCCGGCUAACUAUGUGCCAGCAGCCGCGGUAAGACAUAGGGGGCAAGCGUUGUUCAGAAUUACUGGGCGUAAAGGGAGCGUAGGCGGGAGAGUAAGUUAAGAGGGAAAGCCUUGGGCUCAACCCAAGAAAUGGUGUUAAUACUGGUUUGCUAGAGUGUGGGGGAGGUAAGUGGAAUUCGUGGUGUAGCGGUAGAAUGCGUAGAGAUUAGGAAGAACAUCAGAGGCGAAGGCGGCUUACUGGACCAUAACUGACGCUGAGGCACGAAAGCGUGGGGAGCGAACAGGAUUAGAUACCCGGGUAGUC